AGGAGACCAGACAUGUGGAGAAAAGAGCAAACUUCGUUGGAAUCCUGCUGUGUGAUUGUCCUAAACGGAUGCUUCAAGCUUUGCUGAGCCAUAACGACAUCUUGGAGAAGGUACUGCAUCCAGAGACCUCACCUGAAGGCUACCACUCAUUCAGAGAUGACACUUGUUUCAAAGGUUGUCUCAGAGUUCAACAGAGUGGCAACUUAAAGACUUUUUUGACGUCCUGGAUCGUCACACUGCCCGUUUUGUCGAACUCUUCGAAUCUAAGCAUGGAGUUGUUGGCGAGAGGCUCCAACAACUCGUGGGACAAACGGACCUAAACGAAACAAGAUGUGGUGGCUCUAUGCACACUAAUACUCUGCGGUCUCCCAAUCCUUCUUGGUGAUGCCCCCACAGACUUUUACAACACCUGCUUGGAUUCUGAUGGUGACGACGUGUUGGCCAACGUCUCCUUUGGGACUUUGACUGUCAUUGAAGACGAUGGCAUACCACCCGGACCCAACCUCCUCUACCUGGAGUCAGUGUCAACUGGAAUUAUCAGUGAGGGAAGUAUUGUGAUGGAUGACCUGAAAACAUUGCCUGAGGCCUUUUGCUUGCUAUUUGGUUUGUCAUACGCCCUUAAUCUUGACUAUCCAAAGGGGAUGACCAACAGCUUCAACUUUGUGCAGCGUGUGAUGUUUAGAUUGGGGCAAAACAUGGCAAAACAGGCUAACUCUCAAUAACUUGCUGUUGAGUUAAACAUGUGGAGGGUUGGGUUCAGCAUUUGAAGCAUAACUGUUCAGUUUGAAUGUUUGUCAUGGCUCCAAUCAUCCUGUGUGUGUUUAUUACGCUUGGAAGAGACAUUAUUGAAACAUUGAUCAUGAUUGAUGUUCAGAUGUACUUAUAUAGUUAUGAUUUAUGCAAUGUACAGUAAAGAAUUGUGUCUUGGAAGACCGUAUAGACAGCACUCACUGUCAGCAGUUUGUAUAUAGACGGCACUCACUGUCAGAAGUUUUUGUUUGUUGUUAAAGGAACAGAUGACCCCUUUUUGAUUUUCACAUAUUUGCAGUAUUUCCUAGCAUUAUUCAUGAAUGUGCAUAUCAUAUUCUUCUCAGUGUUUUCAGUACUUAGAGUUAUUGGAUCAGAAUAGUUAGCAUAUCUUGGCAUAAUCACUGGAAAUUACUGGUAACUUUAGCAUCAAGCCACAAGUGAUCAGAGGGCAGAAUUAAAUUGCAAUUUUACACUGUGGUGAAUUUUAUAUUAAUUUUAAAGUGGGUAAUAAGUACUUAAUUUGUUUUAUUUGUACCAUAGACUUGCAUUGCUAUGCAUUAUUUGGCCAUACUGUUAAACGAGGCAAUGCGAACACAGAGACAAAAUUGCACAUUCAUGAAUGAUGCUUGGAAAU